GCUGUGAUGGCCGAGUGGUUAAGGCUUUGAAAUCCAACGGGGUUUCUCCACGCAGGUUAGAACCCUGCUCUCACAGAA
rnacentral:tRNA from 1 species